rnacentral:rRNA from 1 species
GAUGAACGCUGGCGGCGUGCCUAAUACAUGCAAGUCGAACGAAACUUCUUUAUCACCGAGUGCUUGCACUCACCGAUAAAGAGUUGAGUGGCGAACGGGUGAGUAACACGUGGGCAACCUGCCCAAAAGAGGGGGAUAACACUUGGAAACAGGUGCUAAUACCGCAUAACCAUAGUUACCGCAUGGUAACUAUGUAAAAGGUGGCUAUACUACCGCUUUUGGAUGGGCCCGCGGCGCAUUAGCUAGUUGGUAGGGUAAAGGCUUACCAAGGCAAUGAUGCGUAGCCGAAUUGAGAGGUUGAUCGGCCACAUUGGGACUGAGACACGGCCCAAACUCCUACGGGAGGCAGCAGUAGGGAAUCUUCCACAAUGGGCGAAAGCCUGAUGGAGCAACGCCGCGUGGGUGAAGAAGGUCUUCGGAUCGUAAAACCCUGUUGUUAGAGAAGAAAGUGCGUGAGAGUAACUGUUCACGUUUCGACGGGAUCUAACCGGAAAGCCACGGCUAACUACGU